rnacentral:lncRNA from 1 species
GACAAAGCUGUAGACCCACUAUCAGAAAAGGAGAUCACAGGCAGGAGACACUGAAGAGUAUCCACUAAAACUGAGGCAGUCCCUUAGGCUAGGGUGCCCACGUGCUCCAGGGAAACGGAGCCCACAAGAGGAAUCUGUAUGUAUUUAGAGGGAGUGAAUGUGUGUAUAUACAUAUAGAGAAUAUAUACACUUAUAUGGAGAGAGAGGGUUAGAUCCUUUUUUCCUCUUUAGUGUUGAAUCUGGCUUCAUCUGUGCUAGAUUAGGAGCUCCCUUCACCUUGCUUACUCCCCUACUCAUGCUACACACACAGUGGAAGCUCAGUGAGACGUCUACACACACAGUGGGAGCUCACAUCCAUGCACACAGUGAGAGCUCACAUCCAUGCACACAGUGGGUGCUCACAUCCAUGCACACAGUGGGAGCUCACAUCCAUGCACACAGUGGGUGCUCACAUCCAUGCACACAGUGGGAGCUCACAUCCAUGCACACAGUGGGAGCUCACAUCCAUGCGCACAGUGGGAGCUCACAUCCAUGCGCACAGUGGGUGCUCAUAUCCAUGCGCACAGUCGAGCUCAUAUCCAUGCACACAGUGGGAACUCUAUCCAUGCACACAGUGGGAGCUCACAUCCAUGCACACAGUGGGAGCUCACAUCCAUGCACACAGUGGGUGCUCACAUCCAUGCACACAGUGGGAGCUCACAUCCAUGCACACAGUGGGAGCUCACAUCCAUGCACACAGUCGAGCUCAUAUCCAUUCACACAGUGGGAACUCUAUCCAUGCACACAGUGGGAGCUCACAUCCAUGCACACAGUGGGUGCUCACAUCCAUGCACACAGUGGGAGCUCACAUCCAUGCACACAGUGGGAGCUCACAUCCAUGCACACAGUCGAGCUCAUAUCCAUUCACACAGUGGGAACUCUAUCCAUGCACACAGUGGGAGCUCACAUCCAUGCACACAGUGGGUGCUCACAUCCAUGCACACAGUGGGUGCUCACAUCCAUGCACACAGUGGGAGCUCACAUCCAUGCACACAGUCGAGCUCAUAUCCAUUCACACAGUGGGAACUCUAUCCAUGCACACAGUGGGAGCUCACAUCCAUGCACACAGUGGGUGCUCACAUCCAUGCACACAGUGGGAGCUCACAUCCAUGCACACAGUGGGAGCUCACAUCCAUGCACACAGUCGAGCUCAUAUCCAUUCACACAGUGGGAACUCUAUCCAUGCACACAGUGGGAGCUCACAUCCAUGCACACAGUGGGUGCUCACAUCCAUGCACACAGUGGGUGCUCACAUCCAUGCACACAGUGGGUGCUCACAUCCAUGCACACAGUGGGAGCUCACAUCCAUGCACACAGUGGGAGCUCACAUCCAUGCACACAGUGGGAGCUCCUAUCCAUGCACACAGUGGAAGCUCACAUCCAUGCACACAGUGGGUGCUCACAUCCAUGCACACAGUGGGAGCUCACAUCCAUGCACACAGUGGGAGCUCACAUCCAUGCACACAAUCGAGCUAAUAUCCAUGCACACAGUGGGAGCUCACAUCCAUGCACACAGUCGAGCUCACAUCCAUGCACACAGUGGGUGCUCACAUCCAUGCACACAGUGGGAGCUCACAUCCAUGCACACAGUGGGAGCUCCUAUCCAUGCACACAGUGGAAACUCAUAUCCAUGCACACAGUGGGUGCUCAUAUCCAUGCACACAGUCGAACUCAUAUCCAUGCACACAGUGGGAACUCUAUCCAUGCACACAGUGGGAGCUCAUAUCCAUGCACACAGUGGGAAGUGAUAUCCAUGCACACAGAGCUGAUGAUAUCCAUGCACAGAGUAUGAGCUCAUAUCCACGCACAGAGUGAGAGCUGAUAUCCAUGGACACAGUGGGAGCUCAUAUCCAUCCACAGAGAGCUGAUAUCCAUGCACACAGUGGGAGCUCUAUCCAUGCACACAGUGGGAGCUCUAUCCAUGCACAGUGGGAACUCUAUCCAUGCACACAGUGGGAACUCUAUCCAUGCACACAGUGGGAACUCUAUCCAUGCACACAGUGGGAGCUCAUAUCCAUGCACACAGUGGGAGCUCUAUCCAUGCACACAAUGGGAGCUCAGUGGAACAUGCCAGAUGGUCAGUGGAGCUGAGUCUUGACUGGGAAAACUCAAGCACUUUAGAAAAAAAACACAGUAGAAGAAGUCUAUGUGACUUCAGAGCAACACAGUAGUCUUAUGUCUAUAAAAGGAAUAAAUAUAGUGAACAUUUAGAAGAAAUUAUGGUUAUCUUAUUUACUGAAAAGGGGUCUUACAAAAAUAGAUGGAAUGUUUAAAAUUAGCACUAAAUAAGAAGAAUUUGCUAAUUACCAAUAUGAAAUAUUAAAUGGUCUGAAGGAACAAUAGGAAGGAAAUGGCAGAGCAGAAAUCACAUUAAUGUCCCAAGGAGAAGUCGUGAAAUUGGAUGUGCAUGAAGAAACCAGCUGCAUGACCCAGGUUGUGAGGCAACUUUUCCAUGCCUUUAGUAUACAACUUUUGAAAAGAAGUUCUGUAGUUCUAGCUGUCAAUUUACAGAAAAUGUCUGUACACUUUGACCCUUCUAUUAACACUCUGAUUUAUCACCCACCGGGGGGCUGGUGGUGGGUGCAGCCCACUCAAGAUGCAAGUAGUAAGGGGCGUGUCUCUGUCAAUCAUUUAAAAACAAUAAUAAAACUAACUAAAAGCUGGGAUUCUUUGCUUUAUGUACUAGAAUUUUUAAACGAUGCCAGGAAACAAGUAUUGCUUCCUAAAAAGGCCUUUUGUUAGCAUAAGUUCAAAAUAACUGUCGAGGUUACUAUUGAGUUUUAAAAUAUAUGUAAAAUUCAAAUUCACAUAUUGUAACAUGCAGUUUUUUUUUUUUUGAGACAAAGUCUCACUCUGUCCCAGAUACAUGGGGAGGUGAGAGGCAGGACAGAGGGUCACCUGAGUCCAGAAGUCAAAGCUGCAGUGAGCCAUGAUUGUGUCACUGCACUCUAGCCUGGGUGACAGUGUGAGAUCCUGUCUCAGAAAAAAAAAGAAAAAGAAAGGAAGGAAGAAGGAAGGAAGGAAGGAGCAGGAGAGAGAGAAAGAAGAAAGAAAAGAAAGAAAGAAAGAAAGAAAGAAGGAAGGAAGGAAGGAAGGAAAGGAAGGAGAGGAAGGAGAGGAAGGAAAAGAAGAAAGGAAGAAAGAAAAAAGGAAAAAGAAAGAGAAAGAAAGAAAAAGAAAGAGAAAAAGAAAGAGAGAAAGGAAGGAAGGGAUUAAAAAUGGCCGAAUAGAUGAACUGCUCGGUGUAACAUUUUUGUUUGGAAAGUGCAAAUUGAAGUCAUGCAAUAACAUUUGAAUAAAGUUUACUGAAUUUCAGUGUCUUCAAAAUUGAAAUGUAUCACUUUCCAAGUAUUAGUUGUUGCUAUACAAAUAAUUUCAAGAAAAUCAUCAUCAUCACUGAGCUUUUCAUACGUAUCAACUGAAAAUGGCCUUUGAUGUAGAGCAGGGUGCAGAAAGGUGAGUGGCCAUGGGUGCCAAGCACUGCAGGAAUUCCAUAUGGGCCCAGGAGAGAGGGGCCCAGCUUGUGCAGCAGACCAGCCAACUCUGCUGCUGGAACUCUGGAGGAACAAAGGGGAGUUAACAGGUCGUUAGAAAAGAGACAGAACGUAAAUGGUAAAGCCACACUGUGCUUUUGUUUUUAAGGAAAUCUUGAGCAUGAAACAGGAAAGAUGAGAGAAGUGAGCCUAGACCAAGAACGAUUGUUUGUGCGUUUAGAAAGGAAGCAAGGAUGCAGCGAAGGAGGAAGGGAAUAUGUGGUUGUGGACCCACAAACAACAAACAAACAAACCACGAACACACUUGCAAAAUUGUGAAUGACUCUUGGUAUCAAUAUUACCGCAAGAUAAUUUUUACAAAACAAAAUCAGAUGUUAAGCAUUCCUUUAAGAAGGCCAAGGAAAGAAUAAUUGCCAAUUUAUCUGUGGAGCAAGAAAACAUGGUAAAUUUAAAAUAGUAAAUUAAGAAUGACAUUCUUCUAAAAAUGUAUACUUUUAACUUGCUACUGAUACAUGAUAAUAAUACAGUAACAAAUAACAACAAUUAUUAAACAAUUAACUAUUGCUAAAUGCUUCUGCAGUCCCUCCUUUGGGGGGCCAAGGUGGUAAGAUCACUUGAGCCCAGGAGUUCAAGACCUCAUCUCUACCAAAAAAAAAAAAAAAAGAAAUAAUUAAACUAUAUACAAAAAUACAGAUGAAAUAAUGUGAUGUCUGGAGUGGGUACAAUUGUGUUCCCCAAAAAGAUAUAUUGAAGACCUACCUCCGUUACCUGUGAAUGUGAAUGUAUUUAGAAAUAGGCUUUGCAGGUGUAAUAAAGUUCAGAUGAGGUCCUCUGGGUCAGGGUGGGCCUUAAUUCCAGCAUGACUCUCCAGGUGUAUGUGAUAAAAACAGGGAAUUUGGACUCAGGUGCAGGGGAUGCAGGGAGCCCCACUGUGUGGAGGCUGAGGUGGGGACUGGAGGGCAUGUCUACAAGUCAGGGAGCUCUGAGGAUGGCUGGCA